AUUGUAACCCUUCCUCUCCCGGGACUAAAGGCAGACUUGGGGAGGGAAUGAGAGGAGGUGCAAGUGGGGAAGGGGCUGAAACGGCCACAGUUUGGCCCCAGAAGCUGGGCGCGCGGUUUCCAUUCAUUAACCUUCCUUACCACCUCUAGAUGUGUGUGAAAAAUUGCUGCCUCAUCGAUCCCUCCCAAUCACCUGGGCCAAGGGAAGAGAUGCUCCUAAAGCGCGGGGAGGCCGAGGGACCUGCCCAGAGUCACACAGUAAGGGUCUGAAGCUGCAUUUGAACUUUGAUCUUCCUGACUCCAGCCCACCCAGCCACAUCAUGCCCUCAAAGCCCAGCUCAAGGGCUACCUCCUCUAUGGGGCCUUUCCUGUUUUCUCCAACUGGACCAGGAAAUGAUUAUAUACUUCAACAACAAUAUUAUAUGAUGAUCAAUUCUGAUGGAUGUGGCCCUCUUCAACAAUGAGAUGAACCAAAUCAGUUCCAAUAGAGCAGUAAUGAAUUGAACCAGCUACACCCAGCGAAAGAACUCUGGGAAAUGAGUAUGAACCACUACAUAGAAUUCCCAAUCCCUCUAUUUUUGUCCACCUGCAUUUUUAAUUUCCUUCACAAGUUAAUUGUACACUAUUUCAAAGUCCGAUUCUUUUUGUACAGCAAAAUAACUGUUAGGACAUGUAUACAUAUAUUGUAUUUAAUUUUUACUUUAACAUAUUUAACAAGUAUUGGUCAACCUGCCAUUGCGGGGAGGGGAUAGGGGAAAGCAGGGGAAAAAUUGGAACAAAAGGUUUUGCAACUGUCAAUGCUGCAAAAUUACCCAUGCAUAUAACUUGUAAAUAAAAAGCUAUAAUAAUAAAAAAAAGAUGUAAUACAUGUUUUUCUCUCAUGUAAUAUGAUAGUUACCAACCUUAAAAUUAACUAAAAGCAUUGUUCCAGAAAAAAAAAAAGAAAUCUACAUAAUUCCUUACCAAUUUUUUAAAUCAUUCAUUUAAAGUUUUUGAGUUCCAAAUUCUCUCCCACUUUCCAGACCCUCUCCUAUCUACUGAGAAAACAAACAAUAUGAUACCUAUUAUAUAUGUGAAGUUAUGCAAAAUAUUUUCAUAUUAACCAUAUUGCAAAAACAACUUCACAAUCUUUUUAAUGGUGCUUGAAAAGUUCAGUAAAGAUCUAGUUUAAAAUUUUAUAAAUGUUUAAUAGAAUUAAAUUCAGUCUGGCAAGAACAUCUGAUUCAAAUUUUAAUCGAAAUGGUUUGUAUCUUAAAUCUUAUGGGAGAGAGAUGUUAAAUAUUACAAAAUAUUGCCCACGAGCAUACAUUUAAGCAGACAUAUACCUAUAAACAAAACAUUUCAUAUAUGGACUAUGACACAUAUAUAGAGAUUUAGAAUUGGACAUACCAGCUUUUUACUCUCCUUUCAAUCCAUUUGGGAGAUAGGCAAUAGGAAAAGGAUGAUCAUCCCUAAAUUCUUUUACUUCCUCUAUGCCUUAAUCAUUUGUUGUUAUAUUUUUUAAGUUCAACCAACCUUGCUAGAGUUUGUGCCUUCUACUCAAUUUUCUCAGAUCCAGAUUGGACUCUACAUCUAAUUCUUCUGCAGCCAUGUUGAGAUCUUUACCACCAGCUAUUAAAACCAUCCAUUUAAAUUCUAUUCCCUGUUUAGUUAACCAAGCUUCCAUCAUUUCGGUUUGUUCCCUUCUUCACAGAAAACAUGUCUUACCCCACACCAGGAAAACAGGUGUUGAACUAUUUUGCAAAAUAAAAUGAAACCACAUGUAAGGGUUUCUCCGGUCUGGAAUUGAUACAACCUACACUCAAUAUGUUCCCUGGCCUCCCAUUUUCCCUGAGACUAAUGUCUUAACUAAGGCAGUCUGUUCCUAAUUACCUGGCCCCAUCCCACCUCUAUAAUACCAAUUGUGUUAGGAUGGAAUUUCAAAGGAACAGAGACAUUUUCCUACCGACCAUAUGUUAACUAUAGGAUUUAGUGAGUAAAGUAUAAACCAUGUGUACAAAAUCAAUUAAGAAAUACAAAUUAUGGUUAACAAAAAGGAUAAACUAGAGAUUCAAAUGACUUAUAAAGUAUCACUGUGACUAGAUGGGAUGAGACAUAUGGCUGUAUUAUAGCAACGGAUAAGGUAUAAUCUAUUUAAAAUAAACAACACAGAUAAAGGGGAGUAUAGAAUAUUUACUCAUGUGAGGAAAAAUCCAAGAAGCGGGGUGGGAGAGCAUGAUGGAGAGCUUUUGAAUAAUGAUCAAUGGAGGCAGAAAUAGAAACAACAUGUUUAUUAGUAAUAUAUUAAAGACUACCAGAUAGAAAAAGGAAAUUGAUGAGGAAUUCAAGAAAUAUUACAAACCUGACACAGAGGUGUGAUAGCAUAAUGAUAAAGUAUUUCAAUUAUCUAAACUUCAGCUAGAGUUUUCUCUCUACCAAAUGCAAGGUACCAAUUUCUUGACUUGACUUACUGAUUUUAUAUUUAGAAAGGUUAUGAAAUUCUGAUUUUCAGACAGAAACUACAGAGAGUUAAUAUUGCUAAAGGUUGUAAUAAAUGAGAAGUGUGACAUGCAUCAUGAAUUGAAAGCUUGAAUUUUAAAAAGUUGAAAUAAUAGGAUAGCUAGGAUUCCAUGGAUUAAAAUUCUAGAGAAGUCAAAUUUCUCCGACAAGGAUUUGGUAUCUGAGAUACAUAAACAACUGAUAAGCGGAAAGAAGGAGAGUAUGGGCAUAAAAUCAAAAGUCCUUCCUCAAUGUGUAAAUAGUUAAAAGAUAUUAAAAAUAGUACUUAAAAGAAGAAUUAACACCCAUAUAAAAGCAUACUCCAAAUUACUAAUAAUAAGAGAAAUAAAAAUCAAAACAACUCUGAGAUUUCACUUUAUACUAUGUAAAUUAGCAAAAAUGAGAAUUCACUGUUGGAAGGGUUGUAGAAUUAUGAGAAAUAAACUUGGUUAGAGGGGUGAAAGGCAAUGAGUGUUUGUUGAGGGAAGGUAGGUGAUAUGAUAUAUCGAGAACUGGCUCUGGAGUCAGGAACACCAAAGCAAAUCUGGUCUCAGGCACUUAGGAGCUGUGUGAACCUAAGAAAGCCAAUUAACCUUGUUUGUCUCAGUUUCUUCAGAUGUAAAAUAAGUUGAAAAAGGAAAUGGCAAACCAGUCCAGAUUUUGUUAAAUGGGGUUACAAAGAGUCAGACAUAAUUGGAAAGACUAAACAACAACAAAGAGUUUAUUAUAUGCCAGACACUAUGCUUGUUGAGAAUAGAUCCUGUCUUCAAAACUGUGAAAGGGUUUUUUUUGUUGUUGUUUUUUUUAAUUGAAGGAAUUGUUAUUUUUUAAUUGGGCAGUCUAAUUCGUGAAUAUGGCCCCAUUUUCCAUUUUCCAGAGUUUAAAAGCAGAAUGACACCUUCAGAUUUUAUGGAAAAGAAUAAAAAAGGUGGAAAAGAGGAGAAAGAAGAGAUCAAGGAGUAGAAGAAGCAAAAGAAAGAAAAAGAAGAGAAAAAGAAAAAUUUUAAAAACUUGAUUAAAAACCCAAUUAAAAGAUCCAUAGGGAAAUGUCACAAUUGUAAUAAAUUUUCUCUGAUAGAAAAGACUUCAAAGGACAUAAAGGUAACUGUUAAAAAAGGAAAUGAACUAUCAGCAACAAUUUGAAAAUAUGCUCAAAACCAGUAAUAUUACACCACAAUAAAUUAAAUUAUUACAUUUAAUUUGUAUUACAUUUAAUACUCUAGAAUACUACCUUUCAUCCAUCAGAGUGGCAACAAAAGUAAAAGGUGACAAAAUUCAGACGCUCUAAUUUAGUAUAAGUGAAGCUGUGGGUGGCUUUGACUGUUUUGAAAAACAAUACAACAUUGUCCAACAAAUAUAUUAAAUGUCUAUACUUUUAGACACAGUAAUUCCACUUGUAGUUAUACUCUAAGGAAGUUAGUGACAGGAAAAUUAGAUAUAUUUUUACAAACAUUCAAAGCAGCAUUAUUUGUAAAAGCAAAAGACUAGAAGUAAAGUAGCCAGCAACUGGAGAGUGGCUAACUAAAUAGUGAGACAUUAAUGGAAUGGAAUGUUUGUUCAGUGAGGAAUGACAAAUGUGAAGCGUUCAAAGAAAUAUGAAAAGACGAGGAAUUUAUUCUGAAUGAAAAAGGCAGAACCAAAAGGAUAAUAUACACAGUGACUACAACUAUAGAAAGGAGGACAAUAUCAAACUAACAAAAUUUAUGAUAAAGAAAAUGCACAAGAUUCAUGUUACCUUUUAAAGUUAGUAUUUGGAGUUUUUUGUUUUGUUUUGUUUUGUUUUCUUACCAAUUAAUAAAAAAGAUAACUGUGCAGUUUGCAUGUGCUAUCAUUGGGCAAAUACAUUUUUUUAAAAUACAUUUCUUUAUUGCAAGUUUCUUUUUUUUAUUUUUUUAUUUUUAUUUUUAACCCAUGUCAGGGUAAUUUUUUACGACAUUAUCCCUUGCACUCACUUCUGUUCUGAAUUUUUCCCCUCCCUCCCUCUACCCCCUCCCUCAGAUGGCAAGCAGUCCUUUACAUGUUAAAUAGGUUACAGUAUAUCCUAGAUAUAAUAUAUGUGUGCAGAACCGAACAGUUCUCAUGUUGCACAGGGAGAAUUGGAUUCAGAAGGUAUAAAUAACCCGGGAAGAAAAACAAAAAUGCAAGCAGUUUAUAUUCAUUUCCCAGUAUUCUUUCUUUGGGUGUAGCUGCUUCUGUCCAUCCUUGAUCAAUUGAAACUGAAUUAGCUCUCUUUAUCGAAGAGAUCCACUUCCAUUAGAAUACAUCCUCAAACAGUAUCGUUGUUGAGAUAUAUAAUGAUCUCCUGGUUCUGCUCAGCAAAUACAUUUUAAAUACUUAAUAUUUAAAGGGUUUUUUUUUUUUUGGGGGGGGGUGUUAUUUUUGUUUUUGCUUUGCUUUAUGCAUGUUUGGGAGUUGGUUAUUUUAUAUGGGUUUUUGUUUCUUUCUUACAAUUUUGCUUGUAUUUUUUUCUUAUUUUAUUUGAAUAUAUAUUAUAUCUAUUGCUGGAAAUUUAAAUAAAAAUUUAAAAAAUCAUCUGGUACAAAGCUUUUGUUUUACAGAUAAGAAACAUCUAUAGGGUGUAUUUGUGCCAUCUAAAGGAAUAUAGAAGGGGAAUUUUGGAGCUGGAAGAGACCUUAGAGACUCAAUACCCUCAUUUUAGUACUUAUCUAUUAUUUAUUUAUCAUUUUAUAUUUGUUUGUAUAUGCUAUUAAAACUUAGAAUGGCAUUAAGAUAUUUUGAGACCCUUUGUGGAUGGGAAGGAGAAGAGA